rnacentral:misc_RNA from 1 species
AACGCACAUUGCGCCCGGGAGCAUUCUCCCGGGCAUGCCUGUUCGAGCGUCAUUUCAACCCUCGACCUCCCCUUGGAGAGGCCGGCCGUUGGAGAUCGGCAGCGAUUGCCGGCUCCCAAAUUCAGUGGCGACCCGCCGCGGGGACCCCUGCGCAGUAACAUACACUCGCACCGGAAACCAGACGUGUCACGCCGUAAAACCCCAACUUUCUAAACGUUGACCUCGGAUCAGGUAGGAAUACCCGCUGAACUUAA